GAUGAAGAACGUAGCGAAAUGCGAUAAGUAAUGUGAAUUGCAGAAUUCAGUGAAUCAUCGAAUCUUUGAACGCACAUUGCGCCCGCCAGUAUUCUGGCGGGCAUGCCUGUUCGAGCGUCAUUUCAACCAUCAAGCCCCAGGCUUGUGUUGGGGACCUGCGGCUGCCGCAGGCCCUGAAAACCAGUGGCGAGCUCGCUGUCACACCGGGCGUAGUAGAUUUUAUCUCGCUCAGGGCGUGCUGCGGGUUCCGGCCGUUAAAAAGCCUUUUUUACCCAAGGUUGACCUCGGAUCAGGUAGGAAGACCCGCUGAACUUAAGCAUAUCAAUAAGCGGAGGA
rnacentral:misc_RNA from 1 species